rnacentral:rRNA from 1 species
GACGAACGCUGGCGGCGUGCUUAACACAUGCAAGUCGAACGGAAGGGCCCUGCUUUUGUGGGGUGCUCGAGUGGCGAACGGGUGAGUAACACGUGAGUAACCUGCCCUUGACUUUGGGAUAACUUCAGGAAACUGGGGCUAAUACCGGAUAGGAGCUCCUGCUGCAUGGUGGGGGUUGGAAAGUUUCGGCGGUUGGGGAUGGACUCGCGGCUUAUCAGCUUGUUGGUGGGGUAGUGGCUUACCAAGGCUUUGACGGGUAGCCGGCCUGAGAGGGUGACCGGCCACAUUGGGACUGAGAUACGGCCCAGACUCCUACGGGAGGCAGCAGUGGGGAAUAUUGCACAAUGGGCGGAAGCCUGAUGCAGCAACGCCGCGUGCGGGAUGACAGCCUUCGGGUUGUAAACCGCUUUCGCCUGUGACGAAGCGUGAGUGACGGUAAUGGGUAAAGAAGCACCGGCUAACUACGUG